UACGAAGGGGGCUAGCGUUGCUCGGAAUCACUGGGCGUAAAGCGCACGUAGGCGGCUUCUUAAGUCAGGGGUGAAAUCCUGGAGCUCAACUCCAGAACUGCCUUUGAUACUGAGGAGCUUGAGUCCGGGAGAGGUGAGUGGAACUGCGAGUGUAGAGGUGAAAUUCGUAGAUAUCGGAAGGAACACCAGUGGCGAAAGCGGCUUCCUGGUCCGACACCGACGUUCAGGCACGAAAGCGUGGGGAGCAAACAGG
rnacentral:rRNA from 1 species